rnacentral:rRNA from 1 species
GACGGAGGUCGCAAGCGUUGUUCGGAAUCACUGGGCGUAAAGCGCGUGUAGGCGGUUGAAUAAGUCGGAUGUGAAAGACCGGAGCUUAACUCCGGAAGUGCAUUCGAAACUGUUCGGCUCGAGUACGGGAGAGGGAAGUGGAAUUCCUGGUGUAGAGGUGAAAUUCGUAGAUAUCAGGAGGAACACAGGUGGCGAAGGCGGCUUCCUGGACCGAUACUGACGCUGAGACGCGAAAGCGUGGGGAGCAAACAGG